rnacentral:lncRNA from 1 species
AAGCUAGCAGGAUGUCAGAUGUUUUUAGCUUCGGAGUUGUAGCAUUGGAAAUAGCAUGUGGUCGAAAACCUAUUGACGUCAAGCUAGAAGAGAAUGAGAGAGAAUUAGUAAAGUGGGUUUGGGAGCUUUAUGGAAGGGAACAAAUUCUUGAAGCAGCUGACCCAAAACUCUCCGGGGAUUACGAUGAGUAUCAAAUGCAACAGUUGAUGAUUGUCGGGCUCUGGUGUGCACAUCCAGAUUGGACAAUCAGGCCUUCCAUUAAUCAAGUGAUCCAAAUUCUUAAUUUCAAUGCUCCAUUGCCUGCUCUGCCAACCAAGAUGCCUGUGGCAACCUAUUCCAUGCCGUCAAACUUGUCUUCUUUGUCUUUAGAAUACGUCACUGCCCAGAGAAACCAAACUCAAUCUUCAGGCUAUAGUAACGAUACUGAUUCUUCACUUUCUGCAUCUGCAGCACGUCUAAAUAAUGCUAGAUAAGUGUGUCAGUUUAUAUGCAAAUCAAUAUAUAUUAUGUGUGAUAUGAUCCAAGUUUGGAUAUAGUAUUUGUAAUUUGAUCCGUGAGUGAUUGUAAUUCAUUCAGUGAUGGCUUGAUAUUUCCCAGUUUGCAAUUUCUCUCUAUUCGAUAUUUAGUAUCUACAAUAUUGCAUCUGAUUAGUUGAAACUGUCAUUCGUUAGUUUAGGAUACAACCAAGACAAUUUCAUUAGUUAGAACCGGGGAAUAGUCCUCUUCUUUAAGCUUUCACUAAGAACUGCUAGCUUACUCUACAACCUAGACAAUUUUGUCCACUGUAAUUUUUUCAGAAAGAACUCCAUCUUCCUAUUAAUUGUCCUCUCGUGAUCAGCAGUAUGUAUCAAUAUGGAUUCAAGCAUAAGUAUUCAUCAAAUCUAACAGCCCUUUGCACGCCUCCAUCGCCUCAGGAACUUCAUCCGUAUAUUAGGUCAAAAAAUCUUUACAAUUUUUUUCCUCUGCAAUCACCAAUAUUCUAUAUAACAUAUAAACAAAACAUGCAGAACCGAACACCAUGGGAUAGUCCUCUAUUCAAGCUAUAGUCAAGAACAUCUGAGCAAUUAGACAACCUAAAGAGCUACAAGAACUUGGCAUACUCGACAUACAAGAUAGAUUAGACUGUCUUAAACAAAAACUACAUCAUCCCAUUAAUUAUCUUCCUGGCAUUUCUGCUGAGUCAGUGAUAUGACUGAUGCCCAAUUAAUAAUUGAUGGCUAGAAAUUUAACAGCACCCUUCUGUUUGAAAGUGUAUUCAUCAAAUUUCAGCUUCCCUUGGUAUGCCUCCAUUACCUCGGGUAGUUCAUCCUUAUAUACACUUACAAAGUCUCUGACAAAUUUUCUCUCAUCUAUCGACAAAAUUGUUGAUAGAUUGUAACUCUUACUAGUGCUGCUUAUUGAGACUAAAACUUGCAGAACUGAACACCUUGGGAUAGUCCUCUUCUCUAAGCUAUAGCAUAGAACUUUUGGGUUACAUGACAACCUAGAUGGUGUCCACUGUAAUUUCUUCAGAAAGAACUCCACCUUUUUAUUAAUAUGAUUCUCCUUAUAACACAUAAUCAGUGGUGCUUUCUUGAACACUUCAAGGACCUCAUCAUUAGAGAAACCAAAGCUUCUAAGCAACAAACAUCUAGAUUCCCAUGUGGAGUCAUUGUGAAAAGACAAUGCAUGGAGAGCAUGGAUGAAAUGUGAAGAUGAAUAAUCAAAGUUCAUGCCCUCGACCAUCAAAAAGACUUGACAGAAUCUGUCAUGUGGAUAGCACAAAAUUCGGGAAUAAUGGCUUACAAACUUGAAAAUUUGAGAAAUGGGAAUUCCUUGUCUAAGGAGAAACCGAAUAUUAGGCAACAUUGCGGCGGUGUUGGUAAAAAUAAAAGGACCGCAUUUAAGGAGAGCAACUGCAUUUGGGCCGCAACCAAUAAUAUCCUUAAGCUGAUCAAAAGUGGGUAUUAAAUGUUUGUUGAGACUUCUAGCGAGUAUUCGCGGGUCUCUGGUGACAGUACGGACCACCAUUGCAUGAGACAUAUCCAUAGAAAGCAAAAAAUCGAGCUUUGGCUUUAAGAGCUUUUCGGGUUUUAAGGACUGAAGAAUACAGGGUACAACAGAAACGAUUCUGGUAAUAUUAGGCUGGGGGAAUCCAAAGUUUCGGAAUAGCUCGAGAACCGAAUCGGGUCUGUGAUCAGAAGAAUCAAAAUGAACACAUUUAGAAGCACGAAUUAGGUGUUUUCCAGAUAAGCCACAUUUGUUCUUGAGAAAGGAAAUCUUGAAUUCUGAAGAAUCUAUGGUUCUUUUGGGGCUAUAGCUACGAAAGAUGGGUCGAAUUAAACAGUGAUUCAAAUUGGGGAGAGUUUGAUGUUUGAUAAUUAGGGUUUGCAAAUGAGAUUUGAACAUACAAACAAGCAUCUUCAUAGUAAAUAUAAACUAAAGAGAUGCAAUAGAGAGUGGAUUAGGACACAAACAAAUGGGAACUUACAGAGGUUGGAUUCAGCUCUCCGAUAGCAUUAGUUCGUGAAUCGUGAUUGUAUUUGUGGGUGCUGUUUGAACGGGGCAUAUUUUUUUUUUUUAUUUUGGCUAAUUGAUUGAUUGCCCGCCAUUUGUUGGACUUAUUUGGGAAACGAAUUCAUAUUUAUAUAAUUUUAUAGUAUAUAUUUUUGUCAUUUAAAAUAUUAUAAAAUAAUAGAUAGAUUCCUGAAAUAUAGAUAAUCGAUUUUUAAUCCAACAAUGUUUCUCGUAUUGAUUCUUUAUAUUUUAAUACUAAUAGUAUUUAGUUAGUGUUAAAUUUAUAUGAAUAUAUUAAUAUUUCUGUUGGAAUGACUAUAUUGAAAUGAUGAUAUUCAUCAUCCCUAAAAAUAACAUUCAUUUUUACAUUUCGAUUAAUUAUUUCAGUUUUGAAUUUUUCCAGUAAUUUAUAAAUUUGUUUUUUUUAUUAAUGUCAUUGUGUUUCGCUCCACUCUUAUUAUCCCUUAUUUGAUCGUAUUUUUAUAUUAAAUUUUAAAAUAAGAUAAAUAUAACUAGGAGCGUAAAUGAAUCAAACUGUUCGUGAGCUAUUCGAGCACGACUCGUGUAAUUAGAAUUCGAUUCGGUAAUAAUCGAGUUGAACUCGAGUUAUAUGAAUGUUUUGCUGAGCCGAACUCGAGCUACGAAUUACUCGGCUUGUAAGGUUCGCGAGUCUUACCGAGACUCUAUUAUUUUUUUUAUUAUAAAUUAUUUUUAUAAAAAAAAUAUAAUAUUUAAUUUAUAUUUUAUAUAUUCAACCGAAUCGAACUCGAGUCGAGCUGAUCAUAUUUCGAGUUUCCGGCAAUAUUUGGUGACUUGAUUCGAACUUUCGAGCCAAACUCGAUCUAUCAAACUAUUUACGAGCCGAGUUUCGAGCUUGAAAUUAAAGACUCGAUCGAAUUCGAGUUCGAACUCCGAAUUUUUUAACACCUCGAGACAUGCCAAAUAGUAUUUGACUCGGCUCGGCUCGAUACACCUGAAUACAACUAACUCGGUUUGUAUUACUAUUGAAUUCGAAAAUGGCAAAUGCCGGAGAUGUGAAUCGGUCAUUUGAAGAAUGAUGGGAUGAAUUGGCAAAAAAAGUAAUUUUGAUUCCCAACAUGCAAGGAUUUCAAUUUCUAUCGCCUAAAAAGGAUUUUUGGAGCAAAAUUCCUAAAAAUUGCCACAAUGACAUAGAUGAGACACAGGUGAGGAGGGAUGUGUCUUGGAGAAGCUCCAAGAAUCUGGUCUCAAUUGAUUCUUACACUAUAUUCCAUCCGUCCCGCAGAUUUUUUAAGUUCACUAUUUAAACGCAUUUUGAUACUCAUAUAAAGUAUAAUUUAUAAUGUUUUUUAGUUUAUCUUUUUUGACUAAAAAUUCAAACGUCAAAUUUUUAUUCAUAAGAAAAAAUUAAAAAAGAUAUUAUGAAACUAUAUUUUAUUGAGUUAUCAAUAUACAUGCUAAAAAGUAAUGUAAAAAUCUGUUGGGACUGAGAAAGCAUGUUUCAUGAAAGAUUAACCGGGGGAAUUCUCCUACAAACCAUACUAUCAGUAGUAUCGUCUGGCUGUCCAUGGCGGAGACAUAAAAUCAGCUCAUGUGGGAAUGUGAAUUAGCUAGAUGAGCUAACUGGAGUAUAUCAGAAGAUUCAAAUUCUGGAAAGAAAAGAAGGGAAGUCCGAUGGCGCAAUCAAGUAGGGGAAUGAUUUGUGUUACAAAGGUAGAAGAAACCAGGUCUCUGGUGUACAUGUUCACCAACCCAGCUCAUGUUGGAAACAUUUUAGACAAGACAAAGUCGAAAAUCUAAUUAAUUAUCAAUAUCAAUUUCACACUAAACUUAUAUUUUGAUUUUUCAACUAUUCCAAACAGUAACGGAAAAGAGAAUAUCCUAUCUUAUCACACUUUCAAUAAAAAAAACAGUAUCUUUUCAUAGGAAGCCGUUAAGACUUAAGAUUGUGAAGGAAGGGCUCACCCACUCCCUCCCUGUCACUUUUUUAUAUUUUUUUUCUUACUCGACACGCAUUUUAAGACGCAUAUAGUUUCAUAAUUUUAAAUUUUUUUAUAAGAAUUUAAAUACUAAAUAUUUAUUCAGAGAAAAAAAUUUCAAAAUAACUUAUCAAAUUAUAUUUUAUGAGAGCAUUAAAAUACGUCCGAGUCUUGUCUCCAAUAUAAACAAUUGAUGGGAAGAGGGAGCAGGGUUCUGGAAAAACAGUAAUUAACGUGGACGUAACGGUGAUCAAUGGGCUUGUAGUCAGAUACUCUUCUUAUCCGAGCAGGUUUUUUAUGUUUAUUUUUGACACAUAUUUAGAGAAUAUUAUAAAAUACAAUUACGUAAUAUAUUUUUUUAAAUAUUUUUUUAAAUAAUAGUUUGAUGUUUAAAUUUUAUUUAAUAAAAUAAUAUUAAAAAAUAUUAUAUAACUAUACUUUAUAGAAGAUUUAACGAUGGUUCAUUCAUCUGACGGUAAACUAGAAAACUCCCAAUAAAGUUAAAAACACUUCGAGCACAAAUAAUUGUCUGCAACAGGUUGGCUUUACCCUCUAAGCUAAUGACGUCUAGCCGUCUAUGGUGAUUAAUAUACUAAUGACGUCUAUGAUGAUUAAUAAAACUCACCCACCCUUGAAAUUAUCGAAUAACUAAUAAACGACCAGUAGUCCUGAAGACAACGUUCCACAGACGUUUUGUGGUAACAUACAUUCCGAUCAUUACAUCAGAUCCAAGAUCAGCUACAUUACGCAUUUUAUAAAAUCAAUUCGAGCAUGGUUCGCAGACAUCUCCUAGCAGGAUGCUCUGUUGUCAUUACAUCUCUGAUACUGCUGAGUAUGAUCCACUUUGCUGCAACUUUAAAUUUUAGCUAUAUUAGCUUCACUCCUGAUGAUCCUGAGAUAGAACAUGAUGGAGAUGCCUUCACAUCCAGCAGAGACAUCCACAUUACUAAAAGCUUGAAUCGACAAUCAGCUCUUUCAAGCAUUGGACGAGUUACUUAUAAACAGCCAUUGCAUCUAUGGGACAAGGCCUCAGGAAACCUUACCGACUUCGCUACCCGUUUCACUUUUGUGAUUGAUUCGGAGAAGAGGGCCAAGUAUGGUGAUGGGAUCGCAUUCUUUCUGGUCCCGAAUGGGACUAAGAACCCGUUAGAGGGUGCAGGAGGUGUAGGAUUAGGACUUACGAAUGAUAGCCAGCCUGUGAACGCCUCUGCUAAUAAUAAAUUUGUUGCUGUUGAAUUUGAUAUUUAUAGCAACUAUUGUGACCCGGAGAAUAUGAGUGAGCACGCAGGUGUUGAUAUCAACUCUAUGAUAUCUGUGGCGGUUGUGCCUUGGGUUAAUGGGAGCGAUAGUAUUAAGAAUGGGUGGACUAAUGAAGCUCGGAUAAGUUAUGCUUCUAGUUCCAAGAAUCUUAGUGUUUCAUUCCGUACAGGCUUAGAUGGCGAUGGUAGUGUUUCACAACAAAGUUUCAACUUUGUGGUUGAUCUAAGAGAUCAUUUGCCAGAUUGGGUCAGUGUUGGCUUUUCAGCUGCAACAGGAAAGUCAUUGUCUUACAAUAGAAUCAGGUCAUGGGAAUUCAAUUCCAGUCUGGAGUCUGAUGAAGAUAAAGCAGGUCCAACUCAUCCUGUAACAAACGUUCCGAGUCAAAGUGAUCCGGCAGCAGAGGGUCCAGCAGAGGGUGUAAUAUUGUCUAAUAAAAAGAAUAAGAAGAUGGGUCUGGUGGUUGGAUUGGCGGUAGGGGGGUUUGUUCUAGUUUGUGCUGCGGGCAUAUACCUUAUCUUGAAGAAGAAAAAGAGAGAAGAGAUUGAAAAUACUAUUCAGGUUGAGGAUGAUUUCAUGGAUGGUGAAUUUGAGAAAGGAAUUGGACCCAAAAAGUUUUCAUAUAGUGCUCUUGCUAUGGCAACAAGUAACUUUGCACAAAAUGAAAAACUUGGAGAAGGAGGUUUUGGGGAAGUCUACAAAGGCUUCUUGAGAGAAAUGAAUUUAGAUGUGGCUGUCAAGAGAGUGUCAAGAAAUUCUAGUCAGGGAAUAAAGGAGUAUGCAUCCGAAGUGAGGAUCAUUAGUCGUCUCAGACAUAAAAAUUUGGUGCAGCUCAUUGGUUGGUGCCAUGAACAGAAUAAUCUUUUACUUGUUUAUGAGUAUAUGCAAAAUGGUAGCCUGGAUUCCCAUCUUUUCAAGGGGAAGAGCUUACUUUCUUGGAGUACAAGGUAUAAAAUUGCUCAAGGCCUGGCGUCAGUAUUGCUUUAUCUACAUGAAGAAUGGGAGCGAUAUGUGGUGCAUAGAGAUAUUAAAUCAAGCAAUGUAAUGUUAGAUUCGAGUUUUAAUACUAAGCUAGGUGAUUUCGGAUUGGCCAGAUUUGUUGAUCAUGACAAGGGCGCACAAACAACUAUUGUGGCUGGGACACGAGGCUAUAUGGCCCCCGAAUGUUUCGUCACAGGACAAGCUAGCAGGGAGUCAGACGUUUUCAGCUUCGGAGUUGUAGCAUUGGAAAUAGCAUGUGGUCGAAAACCUAUUGACCUCAUGGUGGUAGAAAAUGAGAGAGAAUUGGUAAAGUGGGUUUGGGACCUCUAUGGAAUGGAACAAAUUCUUGAAGCAGCUGACCCAAGACUCUCAGGGGCUUACGACGAGCAUCAAAUGCAACGGUUGAUGAUUGUCGGGCUUUGGUGUGCACAUCCAGAUAGUACCACUAGGCCUUCCAUCAGGCAAGCAAUUCAUGUUCUUAAUUUUGAUGCUCCAUUGCCUUCACUCCCACGCAGGAUGCCUGUGGCAACCUAUUCCACGCCUUUAAACUUUUCUUCGGUGUCUUCAGAAAGCAAGGCCACUACCCAGACAAGCCAAACUCAUUCUUCAGCCUAUAGUAACGGUACUGAUUCUUCAGUGUCUGCAUCUGCAGCACUUCUAAACAAUACUAUAUAAGUGUGAUAAUUAACAUGUAAAAUAAAAAAAAAAUAUUUCCAAUUUAUAUAUGAGUAAAUAAGAGUGAUUAUGUUUACAGCAUUCACUUCUGAUUUGAUUCAUUCUGUAAUUGCUUGACAUAUUCGAAUUUUCAAUCUUCUUCACUAAUUGUCUUUCAUAGUUAUCACAUCAGUUAACAUUUCUAAUUUGGGCACUUGGCUUCAAUUAGUAGUGGUCCUGCUCAGUGCUUCUAAAUUCAAAUGCUGAUUAAUUCUCUGAAAGUAGUUCAACUAGAGGUUUAUAGUAAACUCUGUGGAUUACUUUAAUCUGUACCAUACUAAUAUUCCUUCCGCCGGCAAGAUAUUGGGAUAAAUUUUAUUGCACAAGUCACUGUCUACAGUCUUUAAGCAUUACCUGUCUGCAAUGAUCAAGACAAGUCUAUAUCGUCAACUAUCUUUUUUCAAUAAAUUUCAAAGUAUGUCCGAUAUGAGCUGAAUGAUUCAACUAAGAUUUUGUUUGAAACAUAACCCCAAGACCAAUUUGAAAGAUAUGAAACUGACUUGCAACAGCAGAGCCUGAAGCACCAAGGAAGAACUGAAGUAUAGCUUGUUACUAACAUCCAUAAGGCCAACUGCUGAUGCUCAAGGGUGAGUGUGAGGGUGGUUUGUGCCAGCAGAAAGCCAGCAUUUGGAACACUGACCAGUGAUUAAAAUAUUUCCGACUCCAAAUUUUCUGGUAAUUAUCAAAUUGUUUCUUUUGUUCAAGUUCAAAAAUCUAAUUAAAUUUAAAUACAAAAAGAGAAUAUAAAUAUACAGUAAUAAUUCUAAAGUUUAGAUUUUUAACUUGAGGAAAGUGUCCAAAUAUUUUAGGAAGCUACUGAGUACAUAAUAUAAUAUAAAUUAAUAUAUAAAAAUAAAUUCUUCAAAUUACGGUCUCCUAACAUUUUGAUUACAAAAAAACCUCCACAUACUUAGAAGCAUCAUGCCCUUUUAACUUAUACUCCUUAGAAAGUAGUUUGAACACGACAAAGAGAAAAUUAAAAAAUAAAAGUAGUUUGAAAAUUCACUUAAUGCACAAUUCAAUAAGCUAUAUAAAGUUAAAAGUAAAUUACCAAGAAAAAUAAUUUCCUCCUUAAAAUUAUUAUUAUAAAAGUUAAGGUUUCUAGUACAUGGGCCUAUUUGACGUAUUGAAUGGUUAAUAAAGUUUGAAAGACUUGGAUAACUGGAAGAUAAAUUUGCAUCCAAAUUUCACAAGAUGAAUUCAAGCAUGGUUUGCAGCCAUCUCAUGCCAGGAAGCUCUGCUAUCUCCUCUAUUGUCAUUAGAUCUCUGAUAUUUCUAAGUACGAUUCAGAUGGCAGCAACCUUACAUUUUAAGUUUACCAACUUCAACCAUACCAAUGAUGAUCAAAUAAAAUACGAGAGAGAUGCCUUUCCGGCCAACAAUGUCAUCCACCUCACUAAUGCGGUGAUUGGUCAAUCAGCUGAGUCAAGUAUCGGCCGAGUUACUUAUAGACAGCCUUUGCAUCUAUGGGACAAGGCCUCAAGAAACCUUACUGGCUUCACUACCCGUUUCACUUUUGUGAUUGAUUCCAGAAAUGAUACAGCGUAUGGCGAUGGGAUGGCGUUCUUUCUAGUUCCAAAUGGUACCGAGGUCCCGGCACUUGCAACAUCUGGGGGAACAUUUGGACUCACAAAUGAUAGUCAGCCUACCAACACCACCGCCAAUAAAUUUGUCGCUGUUGAAUUUGACGUGUUUGAGAACUCUUGGGACCCUGACAUUGACGAGCCGGAGGACCCUCUUUUUGGCCGUUCUCCUGAUGUGAAAAUUGAGCAUGUAGGUGUUGAUAUCAACUCUGUGAGAUCCAACAAAACUGUGCUUUGGGAUUAUGGGAGGUCUAGUGUUGAGAAUGGAUGGACCAAUGAAGCUCAGAUAAGUUAUGCUUCUAGUUCAAAAAAUCUUAGUGUUUCAUUCCGUACAAAUAUAACUGGCAAUUUCUACUUUGUGGUUGAUCUACGAGACCAUUUGCCAGAUUGGGUCAGUGUUGGCUUUUCAGCUUCAACAGGAGCCGCAAUUUCUUACAAUACAAUCAAUUCAUGGGAAUUCAGUUCUACUCUGGAGUCCCAUGCAGAAGCUCCGAGUCCAAGUCAUCGUGGUCCAGUACCACAGGUUCCAAAACAUAUUAAAACAAAUAAUAAAAGGAUGGGUCUAGUGAUUGGAUUGGCGGUAGGGGGGUUUGUUCUUGUUUGUGCUGCGGGUAUAUACAUUAUAUUGAAGAAGAAGAAGAAAGAAAGAGCAGAAAAUGAAAAUACCAAUUGUUUUGAGGAUGAUUUCAUGGAUGAUGACUUUGAGAAAGGAACUGGACCUAAAAAGUUCUCGUAUAAUGCUCUUGCUAUGGCAACAAGCAACUUUGCACCACAUGGAAAACUUGGAGAAGGAGGAUUUGGGGAAGUUUACAAAGGCUACUUGAGUGAACUGAAUUUGGAUGUGGCUGUCAAGAGAGUAUCAAGAAAUUCUAGACAAGGAAUAAAGGAGUAUGCAUCCGAAGUGAGGAUCAUUAGUCGUCUCAGACAUAAAAAUUUGGUGCAGCUCAUUGGUUGGUGCCAUGAACGGAAUAAUCUUUUACUUGUCUAUGAGUAUAUGCAAAAUGGUAGCCUGGAUUCCCAUCUUUUCAAGGGGAAGAGCUUGCUGUCUUGGAGUACAAGGUAUAAAAUGCGUCAGUAUUGCUUUAUCUACACGAAGAAUGGGAGCAAUGUGUGGUGCAUAGAGACAUUAAAUCAAGCAAUGUCAUGUUAGAUUCAAGUUUCAACACUAAGCUAGGUGAUUUCGGACUGGCCAGAUUUGUUGAUCAUGAAAGGGGUGCACAAACAACUAUGGUGGCCGGGACACGAGGCUACAUGGCCCCCGAAUGUUUUUUCACAGGCCAAGCUAGCAGGAUGUCGGAUGUUUUCAGCUUCGGAGUUGUAGCAUUAGAAAUAGCAUGUGGUCGAAAACCUAUUGACCUCAAGCUAGAAGAAAGUCGGGUAGAAUUAGUAAAGUGGGUUUGGGAGCUUCAUGGAAGGGAACAAAUUCUUGAAGCAGCAGACCCAAAACUCUCCGGGGAUUACGACGAGAGUCAAAGGAAACGGUUGAUGAUGGUCGGGCUCUGGUGUGCCCAUCCAGAUUGGCCAAUUAGGCCUUCCAUUAAGGAGGCGAUUCAAGUUCUUAAUUUUGAUGCUCCAUUGCCUGUUCUCCCGCCCCAGAUGCCAGUGGCAACCUAUUCCAUACCAUCAAAUUUGUCUUUAGAAGACAAGGCCACAACCCAGAGAAGCCAAACUCAUUCUUCAGGCUCUAGUAACGGAACUGAUUCAUCAGUGUCCGCAACUGCAGCACGUCUAAAUAAUACUAGAUAACCAUGUUGUUUAAUAUGCAGCUGAAUACAUUUUUUUGAAGAUAAGCGUGUCGGUUGAUAUGCAACUCAAUAUUUAUUAUGUGUGAUUUUAUAAUUUGAUUCAGUUUGAUUGUAAUUCUGAGGAUUAACAUGUCGGUUGAUAUGCAACUCAAUACUUACUAUGUGUGAUUUUGUAAUUUGAUUUUAGUUUCAUUGUAACUCAUUCAGUGAUUUGCAAAGUCAUGGUCUACGGUCAUUAGCAUUACCUCUCGGCAAUGAUCAAUAGAAGUCUACGUCGACUAUCCUUUUUUAUAAAUUUCAAAUAAUGUUCGAUAUGAGCUAUCAAACGUUAGUUUUAGUCAUAAAAGAGUGUAUCAUGAAUUACAAGUAAACAAUCAUUUACUUUUAGAUCUAGAACCAUAAAGUAGGAGCGUUUGGCAAAUAAAAUUAAGUCCUUAUUAAAGAUUUGUUUCUUUUAAAAUGCUUAUUUUAUAAAUUUUUUAAAUAUAAAUAUUAGGUAGGUGUUGCAUAUUCAUUAUGCGACAAAAAAAAAGGACUAAUUUCAGGAAAAAAAUUAAGCUAUUAUUUCAGAAAAAUGAGUGUAGUCAAAGGAGAACACGGUAACCCACUCUUUUUCUUUUCCAUUUUCUGUUUUGUUUUACCCACGGCUGUAAAUUGAUUAUGGUGAAACUGGAUUAAAAAUACAAUCCGAGUUCGAAUCGAAUAUGAACAAUCGAUCAUAUUUUGGGUAUUUGGGUAGGAUAAUAUUAGAAAAAAUUAUAUGUGAUCUAAUUUGAUCAGCAGUAUAAGAUUGCUCAUAUCCGGCAUCAUAUAUUAUCCAGGCUUAAUUUUUCCAACAGAUUUCGAUCGUUUUCAAAACGGAUAUGAGACAUGUAUCAUAUUUUCGAGCCGGAUAGCCGAGAUACCGAAUAGUCUGUAUCGACUAACAUCGCUAGUUUUAUCCUGUUAACGUUCUUUUUUUACUGAACACAAUUUUACAAAAUAUAAUAAUUUUAAAUUAAAACUUACAAUUAUAUGUAGGUAUAUAUAAUUAAGUAAAUAUAUAUAUGAAGAUAAUAAGUAUUAUCACAGUAAAUAAAUCAUAUUUUGUGAGAUUUACACUUAAAUAAGAUAUUAAAAUUUUAUAAAAUGAUGAAUAUUACUUACAUAUGUAAUAAAUUAAAAAUAUAAUUUGCAUAUUAGUUCCAAUCGAAUAUGAACCAUCGAUCAUAUUCGGAUAUUUGGGUAGGAUCAUAUUAGAAAAAAUUUUAUGUGCCCAGGAUUGCUCAUAUUCGGGAUCAUAUAUCAUUUAAUUAUAUUAUUAUAGACUUGUUAAAUAAGAUAUAUAAAUUUAUGUAAAUAAUUUUUGCAGCCUAAACAUAUGUAUAACUUAUAAUUAAAAAAUAUUAAAUUUGUUACAUUAUUAUCAAAUUUUGUUACUGGCAAGAAACCUCCAGGAAGUGUGGUGUGUAGGUACUUCUUUGUGUUUCAUUACUUUAUCAAAUGGGCAAGUCAGAAUAAUCAGAAAAAGUUUAAUCCGCAGGACCACUGCUUCCACUAUAAAUUUAUAAUCAUUAUAGUUGUUUUCUCAAUUCUCAUUGAAGAAUGAUGUUGCCGAUCUAGACUUGUCAGCUCUGCUUAUUCUUCCAAUUUUAUGAACAUAAUCAUCGAGGUCUUUUGGCAAAUUAAAGUUGAUGACACAGGUGACAUAGGCAACAUCCAGACCUUUUAGCUUCGGAGUUGUAGCAUUGGAAAUAUAUUAACUCCGAAUACAGGGGGUGUUUGGCCAGGUUUAAAAGCCCGACUUCUCGGUUUAUAAGUUAGAAACACGUAUUUUUACUGUUUGUGUAAAAAGUAAAGAAGUAUUUAUAAAAAGGAGAGAAUACUAGUCUUUGUUCAUAGUUUUUGCGUCUUUCCCAAAUACUUUAAGCUUCUAAUUUUUAAUUCACUUCUUUAUUCUAAGCAAGAAGCGCUUAUUUUAAGCUCAAUCAAACAGCGUCAUAGUAUUUGUAAUUUGAUCCGUGUGUGAUUGUAAUUUAUUCAGUGAUGGCUUAACAUUUCCCGGUUUGCAAUUUUUCUCUAUUCAAAAUUCAAUAUCUACAAUUUUGUAUCUGAUCAGUUGAAGCUGUCAAUCGUUAGUUUAGGAUACAUAUUCAUCCUUACUAUGCCUCCUCAAGAACGACGUUGUUUUAACAAUGACCAUCCUGGAAAACAGAGAUUGAAAAGCAGCUCUUGGAAGUAGUUUUGUGAGGGAAUCAGUAACUUAUUCAGAAGUCUGUUUUUGCUAGAAUUUUCAUAAAUUAUGCAGAACUGUGUUGUACCGCUUUUUGUUUCUUUUUUCUAGGAAUUGCAAUUGGAAUUUGGAGUGCUUAGGUUCUGGUCGUUUAGAUCACUACUGACAUGUCACUGGAAAUUACUCAGGGGACAUUUAGAGAAUCAGGUAGACGAGAAUGUGAAAGAUAUGAUAUUCUAAGAUGUGAAAUGAAUGAAUUAUCCACCUCUAAUGUUAUAUAACACAAAUACUAAUCCAAACAAAUGCUCAGGGAUGUGAAAUGAAUGAAUUAUCCUUUGAUUUUGACGUUUCCAUGGUGGUGGUGUGUCAGGGUUAAUACCUUGGCAUACACCGGCUCUGAUACCAGGUGUGGAAACUAUUGAUUGUGUAUCAACUGCGUAAGUUUAGGAGAAAAAGAAAAAACUGAAGAGACAAACCCUGGCUUUUUACUUAUUACUUAAUACUUCAACUUACAUGCGACGUACAUAUAUAAAGACCGAAAAAUACUGCUAGAGCUCCUAAACACCAGCGCGCUUACACCAGCUUUUAAUACUCACACUACUCCAUGUUCCCUGCCGAUGAUUUUACACUGCCUGCUGUCUAGAAAAACAACUUGUACUGACCCAUGCUUUGCUACUAUUCGAGAAACAUUUCUUUAAAAACAAAAACAUAAGUUUGGAAUAAUUAAUUCGACAUAAAUGGCAAUGCUAGUGCUUCACAGCAAAGAUUCAGCUUUAUGGUUAUUCUAUGAGACCAUUUGCCAGAUUGGGUCAGUGUUGGCUUUGCAGCUGCAACAGGAGCGUCAAUUUCUUACAAUACAAUCUAUUCAUGGUAUUCAUAUUCAAAUAUAAUGAUUCCAAAUCCAAAAUCUAGACACACUGAUUAUAAAAUAAUUCGAUUUUUUGACCAUAAAGGUACAUCUAAAUGAUAUCGUUUGAUGCCCAAACAAAAUAUCAAACACAAGCUCGGAUUCUGAACGCCUGAAGAACUCGGUCAAUUCCAACUCCAAAUUUUCUAAUUUCUCAAAACGUUUCUUUUAUUCAAACUUAAAUAUCUAAUUAAAUUUUAAUACAAAAAGAUAAAAUAAAUAUACAAUACUAACUCUAAAGUUUAGAUUUUUAACUGGAGAAAAGUGUUCAAAUAUUCUAGGAAGUUACAUGAGUACAUAAAAUAAUAUAAAUUAAUUUAUAAUUAUCUGAAUAAAUUCUUCAAAUUAGACCGUCUCCUAACAUUUUCACUACAAAACCCCCCUACUUGAACCAUGAUGCUCUUUUAACUUAUACUCCCUAGAAAGUAGUUUGAACACGACAAAGAGAAAAUUAAAAAAUUAAAGUAGUUUGAAAAUUCAUUUAAUGGACAAUUCAAUAAGCUAUAUAAAGUUAAAGUAAAUAAUUAUCAGGAAAAAUAAUUUCCUCCACAAAGUUAAAAUUAUUAUUAUAAAAGUAAAGUUUUCCAUUACAUGGGCCUAUUGACGUAUGGAAUGGAAUGGUUAAUAAGUUUGAAAGACUUCGAUAGCUGGAAGAUGAAUUUGCAUCAAUUUCAAAAAAUGAAUUCAAGCAUGGUUUCCAGCCAUCUCCGGGCAGGAAGCACAACUAUCUCCUCUAUUCUCAUUAGAUCUCUGAUAUUUCUAAGUACCAUUCAAUUCGCAGCAACUCUACAUUUUAACUUUACCAACUUCAACCGUACCAAUGAUGAUCAAAUAAAAUACGAGAGAGAUGCCUUUACGGCCAACGAUGUCAUCCACCUCACAAAUGCCGUGGUUGGUCAAUCAGCUCAGUCAAGUAUCGGACGAGUUACUUAUAGACAGCCUUUGCAUCUAUGGGAUAAGGCCUCAAGAAACCUUACUGACUUCACUACCCGUUUCACUUUUGUGAUUGAUUCCAGAAAUGAUACAUCGUAUGGCGAUGGGAUGGCGUUCUUUCUAGUUCCAAAUGGUACCGGGGUCCCGGCACUUGCAACAUCUGGUGGAACAUUUGGACUUACAAAUGAUAGUCAGCCUACCAACACCACUGCCAAUAAAUUUGUUGCUGUUGAAUUUGACGUGUAUGGGAACGACUGGGACCCUGGCGAGUCGCUGGACCCUGAUCUCACCAUUCCUCCCGGUGAGAAACCUGAGCAUGUAGGUGUUGAUAUCAACUCUGUGGAAUCCGAGGAAACUGAGCUUUGGAAAUAUGGGAGUUCUAGUGUUAUAAAUGGGUGGACAAACGAAGCUCAGAUAAGUUAUGCUUCUAGUUCAAAAAAUCUUAGUGUUUCAUUCCGUACACUAAAUUACAAAGAUUCGCCUCAAAGUUUCUACUUUGUGGUUGACCUAAGGGACCAUUUGCCAGAUUGGGUCAGUGUUGGCUUUUCAGCUUCAACAGGAGCCGCAAUUUCUUACAAUACAAUCAAUUCAUGGGAAUUCAGUUCUACUCUGGAGUCCCAUGCAGAGGCUCCGAGUCCAAGUCAUCCGUUACCACCGGUUCCGCCUCCAAGUCAAACCGGUCCAGUACCACAGGUUCCAAAACAUAUUAAAACAAAUAAUAAGAGGAUGGGUCUUGUGAUUGGAUUGGCGGUGGGGGUGUUUCUUCUUGUUUGUUCUGGGGCCAUAUACCGUAUUUUGAAGAAGAAGAAAGAGAAACAGGAAUAUGAAAAUAAUAUUUGUUUUGAGGAUGAUUUCAUGGAUGAUGAAUUUGAGAAAGGAACAGGACCUAAAAAGUUCUCUUAUAGUGCUCUUGCUAUGGCAACAAGUAGCUUUGCACCACAUGGAAAACUUGGAGAAGGUGGAUUUGGGGAAGUUUACAAAGGCUUCUUGAGUGAACUGAAUUUGGAUGUGGCUGUCAAAAGAGUAUCAAGAAAUUCUAGACAAGGAAUAAAGGAGUAUGCAUCCGAAGUGAGGAUCAUUAGUCGUCUCAGACAUAAAAAUUUGGUGCAGCUCAUUGGUUGGUGCCAUGAACGGAAUAAUCUUUUACUUGUGUAUGAGUAUAUGCAAAAUGGUAGCCUGGAUUCCCAUCUUUUCAAGGGGAAGAGCUUGCUGUCUUGGAGUACAAGGUAUAAAAUUGCUCAAGGCCUGGCGUCAGUAUUGCUUUAUCUACAUGAAGAAUGGGAGCAAUGUGUGGUGCAUAGAGACAUUAAAUCAAGCAAUGUCAUGUUAGAUUCGAGUUUUAACACUAAGCUAGGUGAUUUCGGACUGGCCAGAUUUGUUGAUCAUGAAAGGGGUGCACAAACAACUAUGGUGGCCGGGACACGAGGCUACAUGGCCCCUGAAUGUUUUUUCACAGGCCAAGCUAGCAGGAUGUCGGAUGUUUUCAGCUUCGGAGUUGUAGCACUGGAAAUAGCCUGUGGUCGAAAACCUAUUGACAUCAAGCUAGAAGAAAGUCGGAUAGAAUUAGUAAAGUGGGUUUGGGAGCUUCAUGGAAGGGAACAAAUUCUUGAAGCAGCAGACCCAAAACUCUCGGGGGAUUAUGACGAGAGUCAAAUGAAACGGUUGAUGAUGGUCGGGCUCUGGUGUGCACAUCCAGAUUGGCCAAUUAGGCCUUCCAUUAAGGAGGCCAUUCAAAUUCUUAAUUUUGAUGCUCCAUUGCCUGUUCUGCCGCCCCAGAUGCCUGUGGCAACCUAUUCCAUACCAUCAAACUUGUGUUCAGAAAACAGGGCCACAACCCAGAGAAGCCAAACUCAUUCUUCAGGCUCUAGUAACGGAACUGAUUCAUCAGUGUCUGCAACUGCAGCACGUCUAAAUAAUACUAGAUAAGCGAGAUAAGCGUGUCGGUUAAUAUGCAACUCAAUACUUAUAUGUGUGAUUUUGCAAUUUGAUUUCAGUUUGAUUGUAAUUCAUUCAGUGAUUGCUAUUUUUUCAUAAUUUAUUUAACAUUACAACAAAUAAAAACUAUAUCAUUUAAUCAAAUUAUUAUUGAAUUAAAUUAUUGCCUCGCGUAAUUAUAUGUAUAAUUUAAAAUUAAAAAAAUACUACUCCCUCCAUCCCAUUUUAAGUGUCCAUUUUGUCAAAAAAAAAUUUCCCAAAAUAUGUGUCAUACUCUUUAACCCAUGUAAAAUUUAUACCAUUUCCAAUAUAAUAUUAAAUACAACCAACAACUCCUCAUAAAUAUAUUUAGAAGCAUUAUGAAUGUAUAGUGUAAUUUGAAGUGAGAGAAGGUUCAAUACACAAUAAUUAAUGAGAUAUGUAAUUAAUAUGUAUGAAAACUAAGCUGAUUAGUUGUGGAAAGAUAGUUGUGGAAAGAUGGUGAUAAAAAUAUUACAUUAAUUGUUUCUUAAUAUGUGUGAAAAUUGCAAAGUGGACACUUAAAAUGGGAUGGAGGGAGUAAAAUUUUACAUUAUUAUCAUAUUUUUUAGUCAUACCAGAGUAAAUUUCUUAUUGCCCAACAAUAAUUUCUCUAUAAUAACUUUAAUUUUCCUUUAACAGGAUCUAGAAUAAAUAUGUUAUCUUACGAAUUUAGUAUGUCUCUAAAUUUUGUAAUGUGAAUAUGUGAUCUUAAUUUUAUUAUUGAUUAAAUAGUUGAUACAUGUCAUUUUUUCAUGACCAAAAAACUGGCAAGAAACCUCCAGGGUAUUAAUUGGAGCUUUACAUGUGUGUGCUUGUGUAGUUACUUGUUUGUGUUUUAUUACUUCAUCAAAUUUGCAAGCCAGAAUAAUUAGAAAACGUGUAAUCCGCGAACCAGUGCUUGCAUUAUAAUCAUUAUAGUUGUUGUUUUCUCAUUGAAGAAUGUUGUUGCCAAUCUAGACUUGUCAGCUCUGUCUUUUUUCCAAUUCUAUGAACAUAAUCAUCCAAGUCUUUUGACAAAUUAAAGUUGAUCAGAUGGGAGACAUGGGCAACAUCCAGACCUUCUGCACCAACAUAGUAGCCAGCAGGAGGAUAGGCGUAAUCAGUAAUACCAGUUCUGAUUUUUGAAUGAUCUUAAUGCCGUUUUCAGCAAAUUCAAAAACAAAUAAUAAAAAGAUGGGUAUAGUGAUUGGAUUGGCGGUAGGGGUGUUUGUUCUCGUAUAAUGCUCUUGCUAUGGAAAUAAGUAACUUUACACAAUUUGGGGAAGUUUACAAAGGCUUCCUGAGAGAAUUGAACUUGGGUGUGGCUGUCAAGAGAGUGUCAAGAAAUUCCCGAAGUGAGGAUCAUUAGCACUGGAAAUAGCAUGUGGUCGAAAACCUAUUGAGCUCAUGGUAGAAGAGAGUCAGGUAGAAUUAGUAAAGUGGGUUUGGAGCUUUAUGCAUGGAAGGGAACAAAUUGUUGAAGCAGCUGACCCAGAACUCUCCACUAGUGAUGAUUGUUGGGCUUUGGUGUGCACAUCCACAUUGGAUAUUUGGGCAGAUGUCUGUCUGGUUUAACCCGGAUCAAUUACGGCCCUGUUAUAAUAUAAAGGUACAACUCCAAUGAUAUAGUUUUUUUUUUUUUUUUUUAAAGUCUACAUACACGUAUAUGAAUUGUAUCGAAAUACAAUAAACCGCAUCAGGGAUUUCUUUCUUUUAAGAAAGUUUAUCAUCUAACCGAAAGUCAUGCAAGCAUAACUCCGGACGCUUAGACAAUAAAGCUUAAAUGAAUAAGUAAAGAAAACCCAUAAGUCCCGUAGCUUCCAGAGUAUCCUGAAAAAACAAAUCAACCAAAACAUAAAUCAACAUACAAAAAAAUCACACACAUAUAAGUUUAAUUAAAGUAAAAUAAAAAAUCUAAUAAAAAGCAAAACAAAAAUAUAUAUAUAUAUUAAAAAUAGAUAGAAAAUAAAAUAAUAUAGAAAUAUUAAUUAAUUUCUAACCAAAGGAAAAUCCUUUGGUUAGACACAUAAAAAUUAAUUUUUUGGGACAAUAAAAAUUAAAAUUUAAGUGAGGAGUAAAGGAUGAAAUAUAAUUAAAUAUAAUUAAAUAAAAUGAUCAUCAAAAUGGUCAAUAAGCCAUUAAAAGUGGCAUCCAUAAUUGGAACAAAAAGCCAUAAAAGGCACGAUAAAGCCAUUAAAGGCACAAUAAAGUCAUCAUUAAUGACACCCAUAAAUGGUUUUUAAAUUUUGAAUCUUUGAAAAAUAAUAAAAGUAAACAAUUUUCAAAUUUGGAUGGUAAUUGAUUAUAACUUAAGAAAAGUUGACUAAUCUCCAUAAUAUACAGACAACACAUUUAAGGAGCAUUAAAACACAUUUAAGACAUAUAAAUCCAAAACCAAUUUCAAAUUUAAAUUUAUCAAUUUAUCAAUUUAAGAUAAUUCAUUUGUAUAUAAACGGUCAAUUAAUUAUCCAAAUUAAAGCAUAAUUUACUCAAAUUAAAAACAAAAUACAAGUUAAUGCAUGUAGUGGAAAGUCAAAUUCCAAGGAUAAACAAAUUUAAAAAGGAGUCAACUAUCCAUUCAAAAAUAACUGAUUUUAAGAUUUGCAAUUACUACUAUUAAAACCAAAUAAUAUUCAAAAUUACAAAUCUAAAACUAGAAUCAUGGAAUAAAACACGAACUAAUUAAGUCACCAGUGCACCACCGUCACCAUCCAAGAACCGCAAACAAUUAUUAUGAACACUAGCGAAAAAACUAAAAAUCGAACAUGAAGAUACAAAACACCAAAUGUAACUGAUCCUAUAUAUAAUAAAAGAUCGAUAAUAUCUAUCCAAUCUUUUCAAGUUCGGACAAAAAUAGAUAGAAAAAGAUGAAAAUUGGAUACGAAAACAACCCAUACAAUAUUAAAUUUAAGCACACAAUUAUACCUAAUCAUGAAAUAUGAAUCAUCUCACAAUAAUAUAUACAGUAAAACAAAAACCAAUCACAUAAUCAUAAUCAUGUAGGUUUAUGUUUUGAAAAGAUCACACCUGUUUUUUUUAAGUAUUUCCGCAGAUCUCCAAGACAAUUUGCUGAUGAAGGAGGUGUUGACAGCGUAGAUGGCGUUGCCCAAAGAUUAGUCUAGAGUCGGAUAUUCUUUCCUUAGCCAUGGCGCUUAGAUCAAAGAUUAAAAGUUAAAAAAAUACGUUAAAAAGAAAAUAGCAAUGUUGGUGAAACAUGAUCUGAGAAGGGUGGCUAAUGCGGUAGGAGUGGGACAAUGGUGGUGUGUUCAUGUGACACGACUACCAGACCCUAGAACUUGCUGCCUGGCGAUUUUAGUUGAAGGGACGAGAGAGGGAUUAUUAAUUCUACACGCCAGCUAUCAUCUUUUACUAGAGCCAGAGCUUAUUUGUUUGCUGACAGAUGGGUCUUUUGUAAUCCCAGUCCCCGUCCAAGGCUACUCCAAUGAUAUAGUUGAAUGCCCAAACAAAGUAUCAAACACAAGCUUGCAUUCUGAAGGGCCGAAGAACUCGGUCAAUUCCAACUCCAAAAUUUCUAGUUUAUCAAAAUAUCUCUUUUUUCAAAUAUAAAAAUCUAAUUGAAUUUUAAUAUUGAAAGAUAAAAUAAAAUAUACAGUGAUGACUCUAAAGUUUAGAAAACACUUUAGAAAAGUGUGCAAUAUUUUAGGAAGUUACGUGAGUAUAUAAUAUAAUAUAAAUUAAUUUAUAAAUAAAUACUUCAAACUACGGCCACCUGACAUUUUCAUUACAAACCCCACACAUACUUAAAAAUAACAUGUUCUUUGAACUUAUACUCUUAAAUAAAGUACUCCCUCCGUCCCUUUUUAUCUGUCCAUUUUGGAAAAAAAAACACAUACCAAGGAAUAAUUGAUUGUAUAAAUUUUUUCAUUAAAUACCUCUAAUUAAUAUCUUGAAAAUGGUGGAAUACCCCUACUUUAUGUCUUGAAAACAUGAAUUCAACCAAGUUUUAAAUAAGUCAAGCCUUGAAAAUUGAAAUUAUGGAGAUAUAUUUGAAAAACUAUCAUUAAAUUAGUUUUGAAAGUAUAAAUGGACAGAUAAAUAGGGACGGAGGGAGUAGUUUGAACUCGACAAAGAGAAAACUAAAAAAUCAAAUAGUUCGAAAAUUCAUUUAAUGCACAAUUCAAUAAUGUAUACUAUAAAGUUAAAGUAAAUUACACAGAAAAAUAAUUUGCUCCAUACGGUCAACAUUAUUAUUUUAAAAGUAAAAGUUUGCGGCACAUGGGGCCUGUUUACGUAUCGAAUGGUUUAUAAUAAAGAUUGAAGGACUUCGAUACCAGGAAGAUGAAUUUGCAUCCAAAUUUCAUAAUAUGGGUUCAAGCAUGGUUUGCAGCCAUCUCCGGUCAGGAGGCUCUACUAUCUCGUCUAUUUUCAUCAGAUCUCUGAUAUUUCUUAGUACCAUUCAAUUCGCAGCAACUCUACAUUUUAACUUUACCAACUUCAACCGUACCAAUGAUGAUCAAAUAAAAUAUGAGAGAGAUGCCUUUACCACCAACGAUGUCAUCCACCUCACUAAAGCCGUGGUUGGUCAAUCAGCUAAGUCAAGUAUCGGACGAGUUACUUAUGGACAGCCUUUGCAUCUAUGGGAUAAGGCCUCAGGAAACCUUACUGACUUCACUACCCGUUUCACUUUUGUGAUUGAUUCCAGAAAUAAUACAGCGUAUGGCGAUGGGAUGGCGUUCUUUCUAGUUCCAAAUGGUACUGAGGUCCCGUCACUUGCAACAUCUGGUGGAACAUUUGGACUCACAAAUGAUAGUCAGCCUACCAACACCACCGCCAAUAAAUUUGUCGCUGUUGAAUUUGACGUGUAUGGGAACAACUGGGACCCUCCCCCCCAGUCGCAGGACGAUGAAAUCUUCACUAAUCCCAUUGAUUAUUAUGAGCAUGUAGGUGUUGAUGUCAACUCUGUGAAAUCCGAGACAACUGUGUUUUGGGAAAAUGGGAGGUCUAGUGUUAUGAAUGGGUGGACAAAUGAAGCUCAGAUAAGUUAUGCUUCUAGUUCAAAAAAUCUUAGUGUUUCAUUCCGUACAAAUAUAACUGGCAACUCUAGUGCUUCACAUCAAAGUUUCUACUUUGUGGUUGAUCUACGAGACCAUUUGCCAGAUUGGGUCAGUGUUGGCUUUUCAGCUUCAACAGGAGCCGCAAUUUCUUACAAUACAAUCAAUUCAUGGGAAUUCAGUUCUACUCUGGAGUCCCAUGCAGAGGCUCCGAGUCCAAGUGAUCCGAUAGCAGAGGUUCCAACUUUAAGUCAAACUGGUCCAGUACCACAGGUUCCAAAACAUAUUAAAACUAAUAAUAAAAAGAUGGGUACAGUGAUUGGAUUGGCGGUAGGGGUGUUUGUUCUUGUUUGUGCUGUGGGCACAUACAUUAUAUUGAAGAAGAAGAAAGAGAGAGAAGAAAAUGAAAAUACCAUUUGUUUUGAGGAUGAUUUCAUGGAUGAUGAAUUUGAGAAAGGAACUGGACCUAAAAAGUUCUCGUAUAAUGCUCUUGCUAUGGCAACAAGCAACUUUGCACCACAUGGAAAACUUGGAGAAGGAGGAUUUGGGGAAGUUUACAAAGGCUUCUUGAGUGAACUGAAUUUGGAUGUGGCUGUCAAGAGAGUCUCAAGAAAUUCUAGACAAGGAAUAAAGGAGUAUGCAUCUGAAGUGAGGAUCAUUAGUCGUCUGAGACAUAGAAAUUUGGUGCAGCUCAUUGGUUGGUGCCAUGAACGGAAUAAUCUUUUACUUGUCUAUGAGUAUAUGCAAAAUGGUAGCCUGGAUUCCCAUCUUUUCAAGGGGAAGAGCUUGCUGUCUUGGAGUACAAGGUAUAAAAUUGCUCAAGGCCUGGCGUCAGUAUUGCUUUAUCUACAUGAAGAAUGGGAGCGAUAUGUGGUGCAUAGAGAUAUUAAAUCAAGCAAUGUAAUGUUAGAUUCGAGUUUUAAUACUAAGCUAGGUGAUUUCGGAUUGGCCAGAUUUGUUGAUCAUGACAAGGGCGCACAAACAACUAUUGUGGCUGGGACACGAGGCUAUAUGGCCCCCGAAUGUUUCGUCACAGGACAAGCUAGCAGGGAGUCAGACGUUUUCAGCUUCGGAGUUGUAGCAUUGGAAAUAGCAUGUGGUCGAAAACCUAUUGACCUCAUGGUGGUAGAAAAUGAGAGAGAAUUGGUAAAGUGGGUUUGGGACCUCUAUGGAAUGGAACAAAUUCUUGAAGCAGCUGACCCAAGACUCUCAGGGGCUUACGACGAGCAUCAAAUGCAACGGUUGAUGAUUGUCGGGCUUUGGUGUGCACAUCCAGAUAGUACCACUAGGCCUUCCAUCAGGCAAGCAAUUCAUGUUCUUAAUUUUGAUGCUCCAUUGCCUUCACUCCCACGCAGGAUGCCUGUGGCAACCUAUUCCACGCCUUUAAACUUUUCUUCGGUGUCUUCAGAAAGCAAGGCCACUACCCAGACAAGCCAAACUCAUUCUUCAGCCUAUAGUAACGGUACUGAUUCUUCAGUGUCUGCAUCUGCAGCACUUCUAAACAAUACUAUAUAAGUGUGAUAAUUAACAUGUAAAAUAAAAAAAAAAUAUUUCCAAUUUAUAUAUGAGUAAAUAAGAGUGAUUAUGUUUACAGCAUUCACUUCUGAUUUGAUUCAUUCUGUAAUUGCUUGACAUAUUCGAAUUUUCAAUCUUCUUCACUAAUUGUCUUUCAUAGUUAUCACAUCAGUUAACAUUUCUAAUUUGGGCACUUGGCUUCAAUUAGUAGUGGUCCUGCUCAGUGCUUCUAAAUUCAAAUGCUGAUUAAUUCUCUGAAAGUAGUUCAACUAGAGGUUUAUAGUAAACUCUGUGGAUUACUUUAAUCUGUACCAUACUAAUAUUCCUUCCGCCGGCAAGAUAUUGGGAUAAAUUUUAUUGCACAAGUCACUGUCUACAGUCUUUAAGCAUUACCUGUCUGCAAUGAUCAAGACAAGUCUAUAUCGUCAACUAUCUUUUUUCAAUAAAUUUCAAAGUAUGUCCGAUAUGAGCUGAAUGAUUCAACUAAGAUUUUGUUUGAAACAUAACCCCAAGACCAAUUUGAAAGAUAUGAAACUGACUUGCAACAGCAGAGCCUGAAGCACCAAGGAAGAACUGAAGUAUAGCUUGUUACUAACAUCCAUAAGGCCAACUGCUGAUGCUCAAGGGUGAGUGUGAGGGUGGUUUGUGCCAGCAGAAAGCCAGCAUUUGGAACACUGACCAGUGAUUAAAAUAUUUCCGACUCCAAAUUUUCUGGUAAUUAUCAAAUUGUUUCUUUUGUUCAAGUUCAAAAAUCUAAUUAAAUUUAAAUACAAAAAGAGAAUAUAAAUAUACAGUAAUAAUUCUAAAGUUUAGAUUUUUAACUUGAGGAAAGUGUCCAAAUAUUUUAGGAAGCUACUGAGUACAUAAUAUAAUAUAAAUUAAUAUAUAAAAAUAAAUUCUUCAAAUUACGGUCUCCUAACAUUUUGAUUACAAAAAAACCUCCACAUACUUAGAAGCAUCAUGCCCUUUUAACUUAUACUCCUUAGAAAGUAGUUUGAACACGACAAAGAGAAAAUUAAAAAAUAAAAGUAGUUUGAAAAUUCACUUAAUGCACAAUUCAAUAAGCUAUAUAAAGUUAAAAGUAAAUUACCAAGAAAAAUAAUUUCCUCCUUAAAAUUAUUAUUAUAAAAGUUAAGGUUUCUAGUACAUGGGCCUAUUUGACGUAUUGAAUGGUUAAUAAAGUUUGAAAGACUUGGAUAACUGGAAGAUAAAUUUGCAUCCAAAUUUCACAAGAUGAAUUCAAGCAUGGUUUGCAGCCAUCUCAUGCCAGGAAGCUCUGCUAUCUCCUCUAUUGUCAUUAGAUCUCUGAUAUUUCUAAGUACGAUUCAGAUGGCAGCAACCUUACAUUUUAAGUUUACCAACUUCAACCAUACCAAUGAUGAUCAAAUAAAAUACGAGAGAGAUGCCUUUCCGGCCAACAAUGUCAUCCACCUCACUAAUGCGGUGAUUGGUCAAUCAGCUGAGUCAAGUAUCGGCCGAGUUACUUAUAGACAGCCUUUGCAUCUAUGGGACAAGGCCUCAAGAAACCUUACUGGCUUCACUACCCGUUUCACUUUUGUGAUUGAUUCCAGAAAUGAUACAGCGUAUGGCGAUGGGAUGGCGUUCUUUCUAGUUCCAAAUGGUACCGAGGUCCCGGCACUUGCAACAUCUGGGGGAACAUUUGGACUCACAAAUGAUAGUCAGCCUACCAACACCACCGCCAAUAAAUUUGUCGCUGUUGAAUUUGACGUGUUUGAGAACUCUUGGGACCCUGACAUUGACGAGCCGGAGGACCCUCUUUUUGGCCGUUCUCCUGAUGUGAAAAUUGAGCAUGUAGGUGUUGAUAUCAACUCUGUGAGAUCCAACAAAACUGUGCUUUGGGAUUAUGGGAGGUCUAGUGUUGAGAAUGGAUGGACCAAUGAAGCUCAGAUAAGUUAUGCUUCUAGUUCAAAAAAUCUUAGUGUUUCAUUCCGUACAAAUAUAACUGGCAAUUUCUACUUUGUGGUUGAUCUACGAGACCAUUUGCCAGAUUGGGUCAGUGUUGGCUUUUCAGCUUCAACAGGAGCCGCAAUUUCUUACAAUACAAUCAAUUCAUGGGAAUUCAGUUCUACUCUGGAGUCCCAUGCAGAGGCUCCGAGUCCAAGUGAUCCGAUAGCAGAGGUUCCAACUUUAAGUCAAACUGGUCCAGUACCACAGGUUCCAAAACAUAUUAAAACUAAUAAUAAAAAGAUGGGUACAGUGAUUGGAUUGGCGGUAGGGGUGUUUGUUCUUGUUUGUGCUGUGGGCACAUACAUUAUAUUGAAGAAGAAGAAAGAGAGAGAAGAAAAUGAAAAUACCAUUUGUUUUGAGGAUGAUUUCAUGGAUGAUGAAUUUGAGAAAGGAACUGGACCUAAAAAAUUCUCGUUUAAUGCUCUUGCUAUGGCAACAAGCAAAUUUGCACCACAUGGAAAACUUGGAGAAGGAGGAUUUGGGGAAGUUUACAAAGGCUUCUUGAGUGAACUGAAUUUGGAUGUGGCUGUCAAGAGAGUCUCAAGAAAUUCUAGACAAGGAAUAAAGGAGUAUGCAUCUGAAGUGAGGAUCAUUAGUCGUCUGAGACAUAGAAAUUUGGUGCAGCUCAUUGGUUGGUGCCAUGAACGGAAUAAUCUUUUACGUGUCUAUGAGUAUAUGCAAAAUGGUAGCCUGGAUUCCCAUCUUUUCAAGGGGAAGAGCUUGCUGUCUUGGACCGCAAGGUAUAAAAUUGCUCAAGGCCUGGCGUCAGUAUUGCUUUAUCUACACGAAGAAUGGGAACAAUGUGUGGUGCAUAGAGACAUUAAAUCAAGCAAUGUCAUGUUAGAUUCAAGUUUUAACACUAAGCUAGGUGAUUUCGGACUGGCCAGAUUUGUUGAUCAUGAUAGGGGUGCACAAACAACUAUGGUGGCGGGGACACGAGGCUACAUGGCCCCUGAAUGUUUUUUCACAGGCCAAGCUAGCAGGAUGUCGGAUGUUUUUAGCUUCGGAGUUGUUGCCCUGGAAAUAGCAUGUGGGCGAAAACCUAUUGACAUCAAGCUAGAAGAAAGUCGGGUAGAAUUAGUAAAGUGGGUUUGGGACCUUCAUGGGAAGGAACAAAUUCUUGAAGCAGCAGACCCAAAACUCUCCGGGGAUUACGACGAGAGUCAAAUGAAACGGUUGAUGAUGGUCGGGCUCUGGUGUGCCCAUCCAGA